rnacentral:rRNA from 1 species
AUCAGUAAGCGGAGGAAAAGAAACUAACAAGGAUUCCCUUAGUAGCGGCGAGCGAACAGGGAUGAGCCCAGCACCGAACCUCGCGCCCGGUUGAGCGGGUGCCGAGGAAUGUGGUGUUCGGGAGGAUCGUGCGCGCCUGUCCGGUAUAUAUCGUCCAAGUCUUCAUGAACGAGGCGAGCAAACCACAGAGGGUGUCAGUCCCGUAGCUUAGACGAGCCGAGACCGUGCAUCGGAUCCCUUCCCAAGAGUCGGGUUGCUUGAGCGUGCAGCCCUAAGCGGGAGGUAAACUCCUUCUAAGGCUAAAUAUCGCCACGAGACCGAUAGCGAACAAGUACCGCGAGGGAAAGUUGAAAAGAACUUUGAAGAGAGAGUUCAAGAGUGCGUGAAACCGUUCAGGGGGUUAAACGGGUGGGCCCUCGAAGGUCGAACGAGCCCCCGCUCCCGGCACUUGGUUGUAUGCCCUCUGCUGCGAAGAGACCGACUUGAUUUGGAGGCUCUGUUCGUUGGCGAGGACCGCAUUAGCCACGCCAAGGUCCGCAAGUGGGGGGCCUAGUAGGACUCCGCGACCGACUGGGUGUCUGUUACACGGGGCGUUCCGUUAGCGAGUUUUCUUUCUCGGUUCGCGCCGAGUUGUUUACGAGCGCGGCGUUUCUCAACAGUACUGCCCGGUCGUGACCUGUCUCCUCCCGGGAGAGCGCGUUUUUUCUGCAAAGAGAGGCGCGUUCUAACCCGUGGAGGCCCAGAGCGGAGAGUAGAAGUCGGGUCCCACCCGACCCGUCUUGAAACACGGACCAAGGAGUCUAACAUGUGCGCAAGUCGUCGAGUCUAUUACGAAACUCGCGAGGCGCAAUGAAAGUGAAGCGGCCCCGAUGAGGGUGCAUCCGCGAGGGGUGAUCCCGUCUCGAACAGAGCGGGCGCAACCCCUGGGCGUCCGAAUGCUCGCGAGGUGAUCGCCCGUUAAACGGUGGUGUGCCGAGUCGGCCGGACGAACCCAGAGCGCACACGUUGGGACCCGAAAGAUGGUGACCUAUGCCUGGCCAGGACGAAGCCAGGGGAAACCCUGGUGGAGGUCCGCAGCGAUUCUGACGUGCAAAUCGAUCGUCGGAGUUGGGUAUAGGGGCGAAAGACUAAUCGAACCAUCUAGUAGCUGG